rnacentral:rRNA from 1 species
UACGUAGGGUGCAAGCGUUGUCCGGAAUUAUUGGGCGUAAAGAGCUUGUAGGCGGUUUGUCGCGUCUGCUGUGAAAUUUCGGGGCUCAACCCCGAACUUGCAGUGGGUACGGGCAGACUAGAGUGUGGUAGGGGAGACUGGAAUUCCUGGUGUAGCGGUGGAAUGCGCAGAUAUCAGGAGGAACACCGGUGGCGAAGGCGGGUCUCUGGGCAGUAACUGACGCUGAGGUGCGAAAGCGUGGGGAGCAAACAGG